rnacentral:ncRNA from 2 species
AUUUUUCUUCGGGGCAGGGUGCAAUUCCCUACCGGUGGUUACAGCCCACGAGCCUUAUUGGCAUGAUUUGGUGAAAUUCCAAAGCCGACAGUAUAGUCUGGAUGUGAGAAGAUAAAU